rnacentral:rRNA from 1 species
UACGUAGGGUGCAAGCGUUGUCCGGAAUUAUUGGGCGUAAAGAGCUCGUAGGCGGUCUGUCGCGUCGGAUGUGAAAAUCCAGGGCUUAACCCUGGGCCUGCAUUCGAUACGGGCAGACUAGAGUUCGGUAGGGGAGACUGGAAUUCCUGGUGUAGCGGUGAAAUGCGCAGAUAUCAGGAAGAACACCGAUGGCGAAGGCAGCUCUCUGGGACGGUACUGACGCUGAGACGCGAAAGCGUGGGGAGCGAACAGG